rnacentral:rRNA from 1 species
ACGGGUGCGUAACGCGUAUCAAACCUGCCUCAUACUCGGGGAUAGCCUUGCGAAAGUAAGAUUAAUACCCGAUGUUGUUGCUUUCUCGCAUGGGAGGGUAACCAAAGAUUUAUCGGUAUGAGAUGGUGAUGCGUCCGAUUAGGUAGUAGGCGGGGUAACGGCCCACCUAGCCUUCGAUCGGUAGGGGUUCUGAGAGGAAGGUCCCCCACACUGGAACUGAGACACGGUCCAGACUCCUACGGGAGGCAGCAGUGAGGAAUAUUGGUCAAUGGGCGAGAGCCUGAACCAGCCAAGUAGCGUGCAGGAUGACGGCCCUCCGGGUUGUAAACUGCUUUUAGUUGGGAAUAAAAAAAGGGACUUGUCCCUUCUUGUAUGUACCUUCAGAAAAAGGACCGGCUAAUUCCGUGCCAGCAGCCGCGGUAAUACGGAAGGUCCAGGCGUUAUCCGGAUUUAUUGGGUUUAAAGGGAGCGUAGGCGGAUUGUUAAGUCAGCGGUUAAAGGGUGUGGCUCAACCAUGCAUUGCCGUUGAAACUGGCGAUCUUGAGUGCAGACAGGGAUGCCGGAAUUCGUGGUGUAGCGGUGAAAUGCUUAGAUAUCACGAAGAACUCCGAUCGCGAAGGCAGGUGUCCGGGCUGCAACUGACGCUGAGGCUCGAAAGUGUGGGUAUCAAACAGGAUUAGAUACCCU